ensembl:snRNA U4 U4 spliceosomal RNA
AGCUUUGCACAGUGGAAGUAUCAUAGCCAAUGACAUUUAUCGGAGGCCGAUUAUUGCUAAUUGAAACCUUUACAUAGAAGCCCAACUAUAGGACAGCCCCGGGUGGC